rnacentral:rRNA from 1 species
UGGAAACGACUGCUAAGACUGGAUAGGAGACAAGAAGGCAUCUUCUUGUUUUUAAAAGACCUAGCAAUAGGUAUGCUUAGGGAGGGGCUUGCGUCACAUUAGUUAGUUGGUGGGGUAAAGGCCUACCAAGACUAUGAUGUGUAGCCGGGCUGAGAGGUUGAACGGCCACAUUGGGACUGAGACACGGCCCAAACUCCUACGGGAGGCAGCAGUAGGGAAUUUUCGGCAAUGGAGGAAACUCUGACCGAGCAACGCCGCGUGAACGAUGAAGUAUUUCGGUACGUAAAGUUCUUUUAUUAAGGAAGAAUAAAUGAUGGAAAAAUCAUUCUGACGGUACCUAAUGAAUAAGCCCCGGCUAACUAUGUGCCAGCAGCCGCGGUAAUACAUAGGGGGCAAGCGUUAUCCGGAAUUAUUGGGCGUAAAGGGUGCGUAGGCGGUUAAAUAAGUUUAUGGUCUAAGUGCAAUGCUCAACAUUGUGAUGCUAUAAAAACUGUUUAGCUAGAGUAAGAUAGAGGCAAGUGGAAUUCCAUGUGUAGUGGUAAAAUGCGUAAAUAUAUGGAGGAACACCAGUAGCGAAGGCGGCUUGCUGGGUCUUUACUGACGCUGAGGCACGAAAGCGUGGGGAGCAAACAGGAUUAGAUACCCUGGUAGUCCACGCCGUAAACGAUGAGUACUAAACGUUGGGUAAAACCAGUGUUGAAGUUAACACAUUAAGUACUCCGCCUGAGUAGUACGUACGCAAGUAUGAAACUUAAAGGAAUUGACGGGACUCCGCACAAGCGGUGGAUCAUGUUGUUUAAUUCGAAGGUACCCGAAAAACCUCACCAGGUCUUGACAUGCUUCUGCAAAGCUGUAGAAACACAGUGGAGGUUAUCAGUUGCACAGGUGGUGCAUGGUUGUCGUCAGCUCGUGUCGUGAGAUGUUGGGUUAAGUCCCGCAACGAGCGCAACCCUUAUUGUUAGUUACCAGCACGUAAUGGUGGGGACUUUAGCAAGACUGCCAGUGAUAAAUUGGAGGAAGGUGGGGACGACGUCAAAUCAUCAUGCCCCUUAUGACCUGGGCUACAAACGUGAUACAAUGGCUGUUACAAAGGGUAGCUGAAGCGCAAGUUUUUGGCGAAUCUCAAAAAAACAGUCUCAGUUCGGAUUGAAGUCUGCAACUCGACUUCAUGAAGUUGGAAUCGCUAGUAAUCGCGAAUCAGCAUGUCGCGGUGAAUACGUUCUCGGGGUUUGUACACACCGCCCGUCAAAC